rnacentral:rRNA from 1 species
UGGGGAAUCUUGCACAACGGGGGCAACCCUGAUGCAGCGACGCCGCGUGAGCGAUGAAGCCCUUCGGGGCGUAAAGCUCUUUCGACCGGAACGAUAAUGACGGUACCGGGAGAAGAAGCUGCGGCUAACUACGUGCCAGCAGCCGCGGUAAUACGUAGGCAGCAAGCGUUGUUCGGAGUUACUGGGCGUAAAGAGUGCGUAGGCGGUUUUCUAAGUUCGGUGUGAAAUCUCCCGGCUUAACUGGGAGGGUGCGCCGAAGACUGGGAAGCUGGAGUGUGGGAAAGGCAGGCGGAAUUCCUGGUGUAGCGGUGAAAUGCGUAGAUAUCAGGAGGAACACCGGCAGUGUAGACGGCUUGCUAGACCAUAACUGACGCUGAGGCACGAAAGCGUGGGUAGCAAACA